rnacentral:rRNA from 1 species
GCAGUCGUACGAGAAAGGGGCUUCGGCCCUGAGUAGAGUGGCGCACGGGUGAGUAACGCGUGGGUAAUCUACCCUUGGAUUUGGGAUAACUCUGCGAAAGUGGAGCUAAUACCGGAUAGUCUGGCUUUAAAUAAGAAGUCGGUAAAGGAUGCCUCUGCAUAUGCAUUCGUCCGAGGAUGAGCCCGCGUCUCAUUAGCUAGUUGGUAGGGUAAUGGCCUACCAAGGCAACGAUGAGUAGCUGGUCUGAGAGGAUGAUCAGCCACACUGGAACUGAAACACGGUCCAGACUCCUACGGGAGGCAGCAGUGGGGAAUAUUGCGCAAUGGGCGAAAGCCUGACGCAGCAACGCCGUGUGAGGGAUGAAGGCUUUCGGGUCGUAAACCUCUGUCGGAAGGGAAGAACGGGUGGUGGUCUAAUAGGCCUCCAUUUUGACGGUACCUUUAGAGGAAGCACCGGCUAACUCCGUGCCAGCAGCCGCGGUAAUACGGAGGGUGCAAGCGUUAUUCGGAAUUACUGGGCGUAAAGCGCACGUAGGCGGCCUUGUAAGUCAGGGGUGAAAUCCCACGGCUCAACCGUGGAACUGCCUUUGAAACUGCAGGGCUUGAAUCCUGGAGAGGGUGGCGGAAUUCCUGGUGUAGGAGUGAAAUCCGUAGAUAUCAGGAGGAACACCGGUGGCGAAGGCGGCCACCUGGACAGGUAUUGACGCUGAGGUGCGAAAGUGUGGGGAGCAAACAGGAUUAGAUACCCUGGUAGUCCACACCGUAAACGAUGGAUACUAGG